GAAAAAUUCCAAUUAACAAAUGUAGAAGACAUGAAGGACAUACAAAGUUAUUACUAGGUAAACACAGCAGUAAGAUCCACUAAAUAAGAGGGAUGCUAAAAUCAUUGAGCAAAAGUUUGAAAAUAUUACCACAAUCUCAAACUAUCUUCAUUAAUUUCAAGGAGAAUAAUGAGAAGUUUAGAGAGAAAAAAACCUUGUAGAUACUACAUUAGCCAAUGAUCAAAGCUAACACCACUAGUGUCAAGGCAUGAUUCAUUUACCCUCUGAUAUAUACUGAGAAAGAGAAAACAUUACUUAUGUAGUAUUCUUUCCCAAAAGGAAUAAUGUUGAAAACAUGAGACAAAUUCAUAUUGAGGAACAUUCUAAAACAUAACUGACCAGUACUCUGUCAAGAACAUUAAAGACAAGAAAAACAUGAGGGGCUGCCACAGAUUACGUGGAGAAGAAUGAGGAAGCAGUGUGGGAUCCUUGAUUCGAUCCUGGAGCAGGAAUUGAUGGAAUUGGAAUAAGAAUGAAUUUGAAAUUAAGAGAUCUUUGGGGACCUUGGCAGAACUGGGUUCGGUGGACUGGUGAUAAUGGAAUGCAGGUGCUUUGGUUGAAGACUGAACAUGAACUGAAAAAGGGGAGACACAG
rnacentral:lncRNA from 1 species